ACGACCUUACUUGAACAGGAUCUGUUCUAUAGGCUCGUACCUCUGUAUCCUUGAUUUCUGAGACAAGCCUUAUACCCUGGUUGAUGAACCAUGAAUGUCCGAUCAGAGCGUGAUUAACGGCAAUGAUUGUCUCUAGAUUUAUCUGGUGCUGUAGAGGAUCGUUAGCCGGCUCGGUUCUAUCCUUGCCGGGAUGGUUGCACAGCGGUUUUUAAAUGUA
rfam:Brassica oleracea var. oleracea cultivar TO1000 chromosome C9, whole genome shotgun sequence